GACGAACGCUAGCGGCAGGCCUAAUACAUGCAAGUCGUACGGCAACACAGUUGCGAGCAAUCGCAACCGGUGGCGAGUGGCGCACGGGUGAGUAACGCGUAUGUAACCUACCCUUCUCCGGGACAUAACUCCGCGAAAGCGGUGCUAAUAUCCCAUACCAACUCAUCAAGACAUCUUCUUGAGUUGAAAGCAGCAAUGCGGUGAAGGAUGGGCAUGCGUCCCAUUAGCUGGUUGGUGAGGUAAUGGCCCACCAAGGCUACGAUGGGUAGGGGUUCUGAGAGGAAAGCCCCCAACUGGUACUGAGACACGGACCAGACUCCUACGGGAGGCAGCAGUAAGGAAUAUUGGGCAAUGGUCGAAAGACUGACCCAGCCAUGCCGCGUGCAGGAUGAAGCCCUAUGGGUUGAAACUGCUUUUAGCCGGGAAUAAACACCCGUUUAUAACGGGCCCGAAGGUACCGCUGAAUAAGCAUCGGCUAACUCCGUGCCAGCAGCCGACGG
rnacentral:rRNA from 1 species